UUCAAAAAAGAAAAUACAAAAUGAUAAAUAAAAUUUUCAAAAAAAAAAAAUUUAUUAAUUUUAUUUUAAUUUAUUUUCUUUAAUUAUACGAAGAGAUAAACACGACUGCUCUCGACUGUAUGCAAAGAUUUUAUGAUUGUAGCUUUAUUAUGUUUGAAACCUAACAGCUAGAUCGAACAAAAACAGCACCAGCAAGCAUACAAGUAGUAAAAUAUAAGUAGAUGAUAAAAACCCAGUCAGUCAGUCAUCACAUUUCAGACUAAUGGAAAAUGUGACAUUUAAUUUUUAAGUGAAAUGCGUCUUUAAAAGAGCCGGCAUUCUAUCAUUAUUAUUCAUUGACAUUUAAAUUGUGAUGAGAAAUUAAGAAAUAACGUCAAAGGAGUAUAAACAAUUGUGAAAAUGUCACAUUGUUAAUGUAGUUUAGCUAAACAGUUUUAAAAAUACUAAAAUUAUUCAAAUUAUUACUCAUGAUUCUUAUUUAGAAAAUGUUGUAGCUGCAUAAAUAUACCUACAUACAUAUAAAAAUGUACCUACAUACAUACAUAUAUUGUCAAAUAAGAUAAUUCAAAAAGUUUCUCUUUUAUCAUCCAAGUUAAUUAAGUUGCAUGCAAGUACACAUAUUGCUUUUAUCUUUUACAUAAUGGUUUUCACAACUUUUGUAAUCUUACAAACUGGAACAAGACAAAGUUUACUGCAUAUAUUACAUAUGUGCAAUAUACAUACACACAAGGAUAUAAAUCAUUCAUAUUGUGAAUCAAGGAGAAUACGCAAAUGCGAAAUGUGUUCAAAUAAGGUAACACGUGUUUUGUAUAACAAUAAUAGUAAAUCUAAUUAGAAUUUUAUAUAUAUUAACAUUAUAUAACGUAUGUAUAUGUUUAUAUGCAAUUUGCUGUAUAACAGUAACAAGGGUAAUGCAAAAUAAUAUAAUUAAAAUAUAAUAUUUAAAAGUGUUUUUUUUUUAGUUUUCCGAAUUAAAUUUUUUUAUUCUCAUUAAGUCAAUUAUGAAACUUUAUAUAUGUAUGUAUAAAAAGAUAUAUUUCUGACAAAUCAUAAGGCUGAAUGAU